CAGAGAAACCCUCUAACACCCCACUUCUUACCAUCAGAUUCCCUGGCAGCGAGAUUUGUUCACUGUUAUUUGAGUCUGUUUUCCUUCCUAGGUUUCUAAAAAAAUACACCCAUAAGAAGUACACCACAUCCACACACAGCAGGCAUUCAUCACAGGAAGGACCCCAAAUGCCAAAAGUAUGGAUUGUUCAAUACUGCACAGAUACAGGAUAGUAUCGUACAUGGCUUGUUAUUUAAAAAAUGAAAUGAGAAACAACACAGUCCAGGUGAUAAAUUCAAAUUUAGCACAAGGAAGCAAUUAUAAUUCAAUGCUGCUCCUUAGCUUGCUGUUUAAGCAGAAAUCAAACCAUGGCAGGAUUUGAAAUGCAGAGAAACUGGGGAUCUAACAAGCGUACAAAGCAAGGUAAACAUUUUUUUCCUCGCAGGCCAAUUUUCCCUAUCUCAUCCAGGCCAGUGUACCUCAGCAGGCUUGAUUUAUCAACGAGGGCAGCAGCUUGGAGCUCAGCCGGCCGUGUCGAUGUUCGGCACAUUAGCAAAGCGGAAUGAAUCCCCUCCAAACGCAAGUCACACCGCGCACGACGAUUUCUCCGCGUAAGAAUGAAUCGGACCGUUGAUUAGCGUCUGCAUAUCUGCGAAUUAGCAGGAAUUGAUAUCUAAUUUUACCCGCUGGUCACAGGUUGCUUGCAGUUCUCAAUGAGUCACGGCUGCGGCAGAUUGCCAGCACUAUGUUUCUCCAGCGCCCCAGUUUCCUCAACUCAGAGAAGUCAAAGCCAAGAGCACAACCAAGCGCGGAAAGAGGGGGAACAGAUGGAGCACACUGCAGCCCUGGACAGAGCCACAGCACUCAGCGUGGGCAGCUUUUACUCAGCCGGUGGAAAGGGUGAGGAGGGGAGAGGUGAGGAUUAUGUGACGUGUUCCCCCCACACCUACUUAUUUUAAAGGGUCACCCCCGAACCCCCCCCCCCAACCCCUCACAUUAUGAUUCCAGAAAUGCUCUGAGGGAAGAGGGCUACUGUAAAAUUCGUAAUUGUUUCCAGUAAACUCUAUGUCACCUCUCGAUUUUAUGCGGCUCACACUUUUGUUGGCAGGCACCCCUUACAGCCAACCCCCCCCUCCCCCAAAACAAGGGGGUUCCCCUUCGUUCCCUCUUGACCCAGCAGGACCACCUCAGCUCUGACCUGAAGGUGGCGUUUCUGUCCUGUCAUUUGAGAGCCGAAGGUGGCUUUGUGGUGUA
rnacentral:lncRNA from 1 species